AGGCCAUAAUUUCGAUGGAGGGAGGAGGAAAGGGGUGGGUGGGGGUCGCUUGUGCUUUUUCUGUCCUUCAAGGAGUAUGGUGGAGGGCUGCCUUUCGGUCAUGAGAAGUUGACAAACAGAAAGUUUUGUCCAUGUGACCCACAUCCCUCCAUUUGUUUGUUAUCCUUUCUUGGACUCAUUUUACUACACAUGCCUUGCACAUCU
rnacentral:lncRNA from 1 species